ACGAUGACAACGACAACAAUGACAACGGUGAGAAUGACGAGAACAACGACAACAACGACAACAACAACAACAACAUCAUCAUCAACAACAACAACAAAAACAACAACAACAACAACAACAACAACAACAACAACAAUGAUGAAGAUGACGAGGACGACGACGACAACAACAAGGACAACAUUGACAACGAAGACAACAACGAGAGCAACGACAACAACGACAACUAAGACAACAACAACAAAAACAACAACAACAACAACAACAACAAAAACAACAACAACAACAACAACN
rnacentral:lncRNA from 1 species